rnacentral:rRNA from 1 species
AGUGAAUAGAUACCCAGGUAGUCCCAGCUGUAAACGAUGCGCGUUAGGUGUAUCGGUGACCACGAGUCACCGAGGUGCCGAAGAGAAAUCGUGAAACGUGCCGCCUGGGAAGUACGGUCGCAAGGCUGAAACUUAAAGGAAUUGGCGGGGGAGCACCACAACAGGUGGAGCCUGCGGUUUAAUCGGACUCAACGCCGGGAAACUCACCAGAUAAGACAGCUGAAUGAUAGUCGGGCUGAAGACUCUACUUGACUAGCUGAGAGGAGGUGCAUGGCCGUCGUCAGUUCGUACUGUGAAGCAUCCUGUUAAGUCAGGCAACGAGCGAGACCCACGCCAACAGUUGCCAGCUCGUCCUCCGGGAUGGAGGGGACACUGUUGGGACCGCCUCUGCUAAAGAGGAGGAAGGAAUGGGCAACGGUAGGUCAGCAUGCCCGAAUUAUCUGGGCUACACGCGGGCUACAAUGGGUGGGACAAUGGUAUCGACACCGAAACGGUGAAGGCGAAUCUCCUAAACCCACUCCUUAGUUCGG